CACGCCGUAAACGAUGUCAACUAGCCGUUGGGAGCCUUGAGCUCUUAGUGGCGCAGCUAACGCAUUAAGUUGACCGCCUGGGGAGUACGGCCGCAAGGUUAAAACUCAAAUGAAUUGACGGGGGCCCGCACAAGCGGUGGAGCAUGUGGUUUAAUUCGAAGCAACGCGAAGAACCUUACCAAGGCUUGACAUCCCUCUGACCGGUGUAGAGAUACACCUUCUCUUCGGAGCAGAGGUGACAGGUGG
rnacentral:rRNA from 1 species